UCACUGGCUAACGGUGGGGUGUGAAGGAAGCCGUAGGAAGGUAGCAGUACACAACUAACCGUAACCUGUUUCGGCGGUAUUGGUGGGUAAGCGUCCAAAAUAGCGCGAAGCCCAAUACUUAAUCAGACCAAUGCUGUGCUUGAGGGUGGAAUUGCUAACAGGGAGUCGGU
rfam:Glaciecola pallidula DSM 14239 = ACAM 615 DNA, contig: CTG007.